rnacentral:lncRNA from 1 species
AAAACCGAUUACCGAGCCAGGAUUCGGUUGAUUAACCAGGAUAAGAACAAGUACAACACACCAAAAUAUCGCUUUGUGGUUCGAUUUGUAUCCUAUUGUUAUGAAGAAUUUGUUAUAUGUGAUUCAAUUGUUGUGUUUUAUCAUGUGAAUAAAUGAAUUUCUUCUCUCAGUUGAUGUUUUUCUGUGAGCAUAAACCUUAACCUGAUAUUAGACUAACAAGGACAUCAUUGCCCAAAUAACAUCUGCUACCAUUGCUGGUGAUAAUGUUCUUGCUGCAGCAUAUGCACAUGAGCUGCCACGCUAUGGUCUCGAAGUGGGCCUUACAAACUAUGCCGCAGG